rnacentral:rRNA from 1 species
CCUACGGGUGGCAGCAGUAGGGAAUAUUGCACAAUGGGGGAAACCCUGAUGCAGCAACGCCGCGUGGGUGAAGAAGUAUUUCGUUAUGUAAAGCUCUAUCAGCAGGGAAGAAAAUGACGGUAUCUAACGAAUAAGCCCCGGCUAACUCCGUGCCAGCAGCCGCGGUAAUACGGAGGGGGCAAGCGUUAUCCGGAUUUACUGGGUGUAAAGGGAGCGUAGACGGGAAGGCAAGUCAGAAGUGAAAGCCCGUGGCUUAACCACGGAACUGCUUUUUAAACUGUGUUUCUGGAGUGCAGGAGGGGUAAGUGGAAUUCUUAGUGUAGCGGUGAAAUGCGUAGAGAUUAAGAGGAAUACUCGUGGCGAAGGCGACCUACUAGAACGUAACUGACGCUGAUGCUCGAAGGCGUGGGGAGCAAACAGGAUUAGAUACCCGAGUAGUC